AAAAAUCAAUAAUCUAUUCUAUUCCCAUUCCACUUAUAUCUCACUCCCGUGUCACAUGAUACAACUGACCCAUUUACAUGAAUCUAUAAUCAAGCCCCGUAUUGUGUACAAAGAUUCUCCAAACUGCUUCACACCUACAUUAGGAUCCCAAAAAGAAGUAAAUACUGUUACAACCACCAAUUAAGAGUCCAGAAGCUUUUAAACAAAAAGAAAUAACCUUGAAUGAAAACCCGUUAAAAUAUUAAAAACAAAUAUCAUACGUAACCAUAACCGAAUUUGUUAGCGACAGCCUCUGAAAACAGAGAGUCAAGAAAAACCAAAAAAAAGGAAAAAAUAUGGUAACCUAAAAACAAAUAACACAAAGGCCAAACGAAGACUUAUCAAUUUUCUCCAUCAGGAUGGCCAGCCAACGAAAAACUGCACAUGAAGGCCAACAUCAUGCGAACAGCUAUUAAGGACAAGUUUUCAAAAAGGAAGAUGAAGGUCAAAAAGAACAGUGGCAGAGCUUGAAAAACCAGAAAAGUAUCUUCUGCAACCUACAAUCACCAUCUUAUUUCUCCACUGGAUCCAACUCAAUCACUUAGAUGCACACAUAUAGCUAUCAAUCACAAAUGCAAGAAAAAUAGCAAAAACACUGUCCCAACUAGCAAGGACAUCCACAAUCCUUCGAAACUAGCAAGUGAUCACCGGAAUCUUUCCAAACCUAUAACACUACCACACAAACCUUCAGGAUAUUCACAAUCUUUCAAAACUAGCAAGUGAUCACCGGAAUCUUUCCAAACCUAUAAAACUACCACACAAACCUGUACUUCUCCUGAGCUAUUCAAACAAAUUUUGGGUAAAUGUAAGACAGAGACAAUUAAAAUAGCAUUCUCACUUUCUCAUCUACUUACCUAAUCCCUUCCUGAGCUCCAUCCACAAAUAGAUAAACAGCUAUAUAAGAUCUCAUUCUCCCUGCAUAUUGCUAAUAAUUUCAAACAGUAGCAUCUAGAGACCAAAGAAUCAAGAACACGUAAGCACAAAAAGCAAUCAAAAAGCAAUAUACUGCAUGAAAAACUAGGAAAAGAAGACAUUCCAAAACAAAGAAUAAAAGAAGUGCAAAACUAUUAAGAAAAAAUAACCCCCCUUCAAACUGGCAGCAAGAUCCUUAUCCUUGCCCUUCCUGCUCUUAAUUUUGGAAACUGAUAACACAUCUGCAUCUAAAAUAAUGAAGAGACAAAAAUUCAUAUCAUGCUCACUGACAUUAACUACACAGGAUCUUAAAAAUUCCAAAACUAGAGAAUUUUGAGUGACAUGAUAAGAACCAGGAAAGCAUGUCUCCUUGGAGUUAAGGCAUUCCAAAAUUGAAUAUCCAAGACACCCUGAUAAACAAAACCAUAAAAAGACAUUAAAAGCAAAAAAUCCAAGACGCCCUAAAGUUCACAAUCUUAGACAAUGAAAUACAAUUUCCAUAUGCAUUAGUCAACAGAACUUCAAAAACCAGAAAAUAUCUGCGGCUACCUACAGUCACAAAAUACAUAUAGAAUUCCAAGCACAAACAAGAGAAAAAUGUUUGCGUAUAAGAUUGCGACCCCAAUUAGCAAGUGACGUCCACAAUCUUUUGACACUAGCAAGUGACCACUAGAAUCUUUCAAAACCUGACAACAACCAUACAAACCGUACUUUAUCUCAAGUCUUAAGCAAACAAUAGGUCAAUGUGAGACAAAUAUUUAAAGUGGUCAUCCAUUAUCGCUUUUCAUCAACUCACCUCCCUCUAAACCUCCAUCCACAAAGAUAUGAGAUAACAAUCUCCUUCUCCUGCGGAAAGCUAAAUUGCUAAUAGUUCCUAAUAGCAACCUGACCCAAGAAUCAAGAACAUAUUAAUGGCAAAAAACAACCAGGAACAACACACGGUCAUCCAUGUCCUUCAUAAUAAUUCUGGAAAUUCAUAACACCAAACACUCAGCUAAAUAAUAAAAGGGUCAAAAAUUCAUAUCAAGCUCCUUACCAACACACGGUCCACCAAAACCAAGUAUUUUAGAGUGUUAUAGUGGUGGUCACUACUCACAACACGGAAGGAGAGACAUUCCUAGUAAUAGUGGCGAUCACGGCCAUGAAGAAGAUCAAGGAUCAGCACUUUAGAAAAGGAAAGCCAGCAACAUCACCGCAGGCAGAAACCAUAUAUUGAAAUAUCUUCCAAAAUCGCAAAACAAAACAAGAAAAAUAUAACUCGUAAUAGAAGAAGGGAACACAAAAGAACCAUCUGUUCAUCCACACAACAAAUUUCGUGAAAAGAAAGCCAAAACGCAUUAUGUUCAAAAUUGAAUGGUACCAAAACUUUUGUGAAAACCCUGAGAAGAAUAAAUAUCAAAACAGAUAGAUUUAAUAAGAUCUCAAUAAAAAGAUUGAGUUGGGCAAUGAAGGCCACGAGGAAGUUUAGGGAUCAGCAGUUUAGAAAAGGAAAGCCAGCAACAUCACUGCAAGCAGAAACCAUAUAUUUAAAUACCAUAAAGAAGCUGGAAGCAAUCUUCUUGAGAAUUAUCACAAAACCGGAAAUCCAAGAGGCAUGAUCAAACAAAGCCAUAACAGAUACUGACAGCAUUAAAAACUAAGAGGCCCUGAGACAAGGGUGGAAAAAUAUUUUAAAAAGAACAUAUGUAACCAUAUUAUAAAUUCAGUGUUAUGUGCAGAAGGUAGAAUCUAUAAUAAAAAUAGGGUCAAUACACUCAUAUCCCACUCAGUAACAUAACUCCACAAGAUCCUAAAAGCUUGAAAACAAAAGACUAUAAAGAAAUACAAUAAGAACCAGGAAGCAAAUCUCCUUGAGAGUUUAAACGGUGUUCCAAGAUUGAAAAUCCAAGAGAGCCUCAUCAAACAAAACCAUAAAAGAUACUAAGAGCAUUAAAAACUAAUAGACCCUGAAACAAGGAUGGAAAAAUUAAAAAAAAAAAAAAAAAUAUUUAAACUUAUGUGCUUAAGGUAGAAUCUCCAUAACUGAAGUUGUUAACAACAGCCUAUGAUAACAAAGAGUCAAGAUAAACCAAAAAACAAGGAAAAAGAUGGUGACCUAAAAACAAAUAACACAAAGGCCAAACAACAUUUUUUUAAAAAAAUAAAAAACUGAAAGUGAAAGAUCCUGCAACAGCUAAAAACAAUACAAUAGCAAGAAAUGAAGACUUAUCAAUUUUCUCCAUCAGGAUGGCCAGCCAACAAACCACUGCACAAGAAAGCCAACAUCACACAAACAGAUAUUAAGGACAAGCUUUCAAAAAAUAAGAUGAAGAUCAAACAAAAGCUCAACCAAUUUGAAGUCCUUAACGGGCCACAUCUUCCACACAUUUACCUUGUGCCAACUAAAUUAGCAAGAACAUGCUCUAAAAUUAAAAAAAAAACUCUAUAAAUACAAUUUCUAACAACAUGCUACAUUUCUGCUGCCUAGACUUUAAAUAAAUAUCGACUUCCAAAUGAUGCAAAGAUCCGAAUCACACACUAAGAACAACGAGAAAAGUAAAAUCUCAACUGACAGAACUUGUAAACUCCAAUGAAUCUGUCCAACCUACAAACACAAACAGAUCCCCACAGAAUAUAAAUCCUGCAAUAAGAACUCAAACUCGCAACAAAAAACAAAAUUAGCAUAUAAAGUCAACAUCCAAAAUAUCACAUAAAUGCCUGCUAAUCCUAUGUCAUCUUUUUCAGUCAAAUGAAAUCCAUUCAAUUUGAAAUCCUCUCUAACUAACAUGUUUCAGACAUUUAUAUAAACCAGUUAAAGAAAGACCUCAAAAAUGCAAGAAAUGAAAGCACAAAUGACAUAUAAAUCAGUGGCAGAACUUGAAAAACCAGAAAAGUAUCUUCUGCAACCUACAAUCACAGAUACACACAUAUAAUAAACGCAAGAUAAAUGUCCGCAUAAAAUCACUGUCCCAAUUAGCAUGGACAUUCACAAUCUUUCGAAACUAGCAAAUGAUCAUCGGAAUCUUUCCAAACCUAUAAAACUACCACACAAACCUGUACUUCUCUUGAACUAUUUAAGCAAUUUUUUGAUAAAUUUAAGACAGACAAUAAAAAUAGCAUUCUCACCUUCUCAUCUACUUACCUAAUCCCUCCUUCCCGAGGUCCAUCCCCAAAGAAAUAACAAAGCUAUAUUAGAUCUCAUUCUCCCUUCGUUUUGCUAAUAAUUUCUAACGGCAGCAUCUGGAGACCCAAGAAUCAAGAACACAUAAGCACAGAAACCAAUCAAAAAGCAAUAUACUACAGGAAAAACUAGAAAAAUAGAUGCUCCAAAACAAAGAAUAAAAGAACUGCAACCCCAUUCCAACUGGCUGCAAGAUCCUUCAUCCUUGCCCUUCCCGCUUUUAAUUUUGGAAACUGAUAAUACAUCACAUCAUGAAGAGACAAAAUCAUAUCAUGCUCAGGUACACAUGAUCCUAAAAACUCCAAAACAAAAGAAUUUUGAGUGAUACGAUAAGAACCAGGAAAGCAAGCCUCCUUGGAGUAGAGCCAAUCCAGAAUUGAAUAUCCAAAAGAACCUGAUCAAACAAAACCAUAAAAAGAUAUUGAAAGCAAAAAAUCCAAGAAGCCCUAAAGUUCAUAAUCCAAGACAAUGAAACACAAUUUCCAUUAGCAUUAGUCAACAGAACCUCAAAAACCAGAAAAUUUCUGUGGCUACUUACAAUCUAUGAACACAAACAAGAGAAACAUUUCUGUAUAUAAGAUUACGACCCCAGCUAGCAAAAGAAGUCCUCAAUCUUUCGACAUAGCAAAUGACCAUAAGAACCUUUCAAAACCUGUACAACGAUCACACAAACCGUACUAUGCAAAGAUCUCAAUGGUAAAAGCUCAACCAAUUUGAAGUCCUUAAUGGGCCACAUCUUCCACACAUUUACCCUGUGCCAACAAAUUAUCGGGAACAUGCUCUAAAUUAACAAAAAAAAACUAUAUAAAUACAAUUUCUAACAACAUGCUUCAUUUCUGCUGCCUAGACUUUAAAUAAAUAUCAACUUCUAAACAAUGCAAAGAUCCAAAUCAGACACUAAGAACAAUGAGAAAAGCAAAAUCUCAACUGACAGAACUUGUAAACUCUAAUGGACCUGUCCAACCUACUAACACAAACAGAUCCCAACAGAAUAUAAAUCCCACAAUAAGAACUCAAACUCACAACCAAAAAAAAUUAGCAUAUAAAGUCAACAUCCAAAUUAUCACAUAAAUGCCUGCUAAUCCUAUGGCAUCUUGUUCAGUUAAAUGAAAUCCUUUCAAUUUGAAAUCCUCUCAAGCUAACAUGUUUCAGACAUUUAUAUAAACCAGAUAAAAGAAGAACUCAAAAAAUCCAAGAAAUGAAAGCACAAAUGACAUAUAAACCAGUGCAAGAACUUGAAAAACUAGAAAAGUAGCUUCUGCAACCUACAAUCACAAAUGCACACAUAUAGCUACCAAUAAUAAAAGCAAGAAAAAUGUCUGCAUAAAAUCACUGUCCCAAGUAGCAAGGACAUUCACAAUCUUUCAAAGCCAGCAAGUGAUCACCGGAAUCUUUCCAAACCUAUAAAACUACCACACAAACCUGUACUUCUCUUGAGCUAUUCAAGUGAAUUUUGGGUAAAUGUAAAACAGAAACAAUUAAAAUGGCAUUCUCACUUUCUCAUCUACUUACCAAAUCCCUCCUUCCCGAGCUUGAUCCACAAAGAGAUAACACAGCUAUAUAAGAUCUCAUUCUCACUGCAUAUUGCUACUAGCAUCAAACAGCAGCAUCUGGAAACCAAAGAAUCAAAGACAUGGAAGCACAGAAAGCAAUCAAAAAGCAAUAUACUGCACGAAAAACUAGAAAAAUAAGAUGUUCCAAAACAAAGAAUAAAAGAAGUGCAAAACAAUUAAGAAAAUAUAACCACCAGUCCAACUGGCAGCAAGAUCCUUCAUCCUUGCCCUUCCUGCUCUUAAUUUUGGAAACUGAUAACACAUCAGCAUCAAAAAUAAUGAAGAGAAAAAGAAUCAUAUCAUGCUCAGUGGCAUUAACUAGACAGGAUCUUCAAAACUCAAGCUAGAGAAUUUUGAGUGAUACAAUAAGAACCAGGAAAGCAAGUCUCCUUGGAGUUGAAACAGUCCAAAAUUGAAUAUCCAAGAGACCCUGAUCAAACAAAACCAUAAAAAGAUAUUGAAAGCAAAAAAUCCCCAGAGACCCUAAAGUUCACAAUCCAAGACAAUGAAACAAAAUUUCCAUAUGCGUUAGUCAACAGAACUUCAAAAACCAGAAAAUAUCUGUGGCUACCUACAAUCACCAAAUACAUAUAGAAUUUCAAGCACAAACAAGAGAAAAAUAUCUGCAUAUAAUAUUACAACCCCAGCUAGCAAGUGACGUCCACAAUCUUUCGACACAAGCGAGACAAACAUUGAAAUAUCUGAAGUCUUAAGCAAACAACAGAUCAAUGUGAGACAAACAUUUAAGUGGUGUUUUUUUAUUGCUUUUCAUCAACUCACCAAUCCCUCCCUCCAAAGCUCCAUCCACAAAGAUAUGAGAUGAUAAUCUAUGGAAUGCUAAAUUCCUAAUAGUUCCUAAUAGCAGCCUGACCCAAGAAUCAAGAACAUAUUAAGGGCAAAAACCAAUCAAGAGCAACAGUGUGCAAAAGGAAAAAAA
rnacentral:lncRNA from 1 species